rnacentral:rRNA from 1 species
UAUGAUCCAGAGUACCACGGGACACGUGAAACCCUGUGGGAAGCAGGAGGGACCACCCUCCAAGGCUAAAUACUACCUAGUGACCGAGAGCGUAUAGUACCGUGAGGGAAAGGUGAAAAGAACCCCGGGAGGGGAGUGAAAUAGAACCUGAAACCCUGCACUUACAAGCUGUGGAAGCACAUUUCUUGUGUGACCGCGUACUUUUUGUAGAACGGGCCAACGAGUUACGUUAAGUAGCAAGGUUAAGCACUUAAGGUGCGGAGCCGUAGCGAAAGCGAGUUUUAACUGAGCGUUCAGUUACUUGACGUAGACCCGAAACCGGGCGACC